CCUUCGGGUUGUAAAGCACUUUUAUCGGGAGCGAAAUACCAUUGGCUAAUAACCGAUGGGGCUGACGGUACCCGAGGAAUAAGCACCGGCUAACUUCGUGC
rnacentral:rRNA from 1 species